rnacentral:rRNA from 1 species
AAUUACUGGGCGUAAAGCGAGCGCAGACGGUUACUUAAGCAGGAUGUGAAAUCCCCGGGCUCAACCUGGGAACUGCGUUCUGAACUGGGUGACUAGAGUGUGUCAGAGGGAGGUAGAAUUCCACGUGUAGCAGUGAAAUGCGUAGAGAUGUGGAGGAAUACCGAUGGCGAAGGCAGCCUCCUGGGAUAACACUGACGUUCAUGCUCGAAAGCGUGGGUAGCAAACAGGAUUAGAUACCCUGGUAGUCCACGCCCUAAACGAUGUCAAUUAGCUGUUGGGCAACUUGAUUGCUUAGUAGCGUAGCUAACGCGUGAAAUUGACCGCCUGGGGAGUACGGUCGCAAGAUUAAAACUCAAAGGAAUUGACGGGGACCCGCACAAGCGGUGGAUGAUGUGGAUUAAUUCGAUGCAACGCGAAGAACCUUACCUGGUCUUGACAU